rnacentral:rRNA from 1 species
CACGUAGUUAGCCGGGGCUUCUUAUUUAGGUACCGUCAUUCUUUUCGUCCCUAUUGAUAGAAGUUUACAACCCGAAAAGCCUUCUUCCUUCACGCGGCGUUGCUGCAUCAGGGUUCCCCCCAUUGUGCAAUAUUCCCCACUGCUGCCUCCCGUAGGAGUUUCGGGCCGUGUCUCACGUCCCAAUGUGGCCGAUCACCCUCUCAGGUCGGCUACUGAUCGUUGACCUUGGUGAGCUGUUAUCUCACCAACUAGCUAAUCUAGAUGCGGGCCCAAUCGUAUACCGGAUUACUCCUUUUCCCAUCGGGAGAUGUCCUCCCAAUCGGUGACAUGCGGUAUUAGUCAUCGUUUCCAAUCGAUUAUUCCCCUGUAUACGGCUAGGUUGCCCACACGUUACUCACCCGUCCGCCGCUAAGCCUAUAUACUCUUCCUGCCGAAGCCUCUCCGUAUUAUAUACCUCCGCUCGACUUGCAUGUGUUAAGCACGCCGCCAGCCGUUCAUCCUGAGCCAGGAUCAAA